CUGGCACCCGCUCUCUCCCGAGGCUCAGAGUGGGCGUUGGUGUGGAACAGCCCCUAAGAGGCACCUCGGCCUUCCCGGAGCCCCGGAACGUGGAGGCUAACCCAGGACAGAGACGGUCACUGCAGGAGAAAAGACGACACCGUCAGUCCUUCCCCCGGUGCACAACCGAGGACCUCCUCCGCAUUUGCCCCUGCGUCUGAGGCAGCAUCUCGGGAAUCUGCAGUCUCCAAGUGCGAGAGAGGCAGCCCCAGACCCAUCCAUGAUGCACCUGAGCCUGUGCAGGAGGCUCGCAGGAGGGUGGGGACGGCGAGGACAGCUGCAUGAGUACCCCUAAACCAGCAGCCGCAAGGCCCUCGGGUGACUGGGAGAUGUUUGUAUAGGGAGACUGGAGGUGUGAUAACUCCCCAGCAAGCUGGGAUUUCUAGCCUAGGCCAAUUCCACUCUUCUUAUAUUUUUUAAUGUUGAAGACGGUUACCCUGCAGCAAACCAGUCUGACCCACCUUG
rnacentral:lncRNA from 1 species